CCUACGGGAGGCAGCAGUGAGGAAUAUUGGUCAAUGGGCGCUAGCCUGAACCAGCCAAGUAGCGUGAAGGAUGACUGCCCUAUGGGUUGUAAACUUCUUUUGUAUGGGAAUAAAGUGCAGUAUGUAUACUGCUUUGCAUGUACCUUAUGAAUAAGGAUCGGCUAACUCCGUGCCAGCAGCCGCGGUAAUACGGAGGAUCCGGGCGUUAUCCGGAUUUAUUGGGGUUAAAGGGAGCGUAGGCGGGUGGUUAAGUCAGUUGUGAAAGUUUGGGGCUCAACCGUAAAAUUGCAGUUGAUACUGGCAGCCUUGAGUACAGUAGAGGUAGGCGGAAUUCGUGGUGUAGCGGUGAAAUGCUUAGAUAUCACGAAGAACUCCGAUUGCGAAGGCAGCCUGCUGGACUGUAACUGACGCUGAUGCUCGAAAGUGUGGGUAUCAAACAGGAUUAGAUACCCUUGUAGUC
rnacentral:rRNA from 1 species